rnacentral:rRNA from 1 species
GUAGGGAAUAUUGGGCAAUGGAGGCAACUCUGACCCAGCCAUGCCGCGUGCAGGAUGACGGCCCUAUGGGUUGUAAACUGCUUUUAUACGGGAAGAAAAAAUACUACGUGUAGUAUACUGACGGUACCGUAAGAAUAAGGAUCGGCUAACUCCGUGCCAGCAGCCGCGGUAAUACGGAGGAUCCAAGCGGUGUCCGGAUUUAUUGGGUGUAAAGGGUGCGUAGGCGGAUCUUUAAGUCAGUGGUGAAAGCCUGCAGCUUAACUGUAGAAUUGCCAUUGAAACUGAAGAUCUUGAAUGUGGUUAAAGUAGGCGGAAUGUAUCAUGUAGCGGUGAAAUGCUUAGAUAUGAUACAGAACACCGAUAGCGAAGGCAGCUUGCUGAACCAUUAUUGACGCUGAGGCACGAAAGCGUGGGGAGCGAACAGGAUUAGAAACCCUAGUAGUCC